rnacentral:lncRNA from 1 species
CAGCGCCGUCGCCCGGCGCAGUGAGGACGUCUGGGCUCGGGCCGAGCAGGCGCUCCGGGACGCGCGGCCCCCCCCGCCCGGCCCUGCGCCCCAGCGGAAGCCCGACAAAGCCCAGCUGCUGCAGGAGCUGGCAAUGCUCAAGGUGUGCGGCUGGGGGGGGGGUGGACACCUGGACCCCUCCCCUGCUCCCGCGGGGUCCAGAGCAGGGUGCACGGCUCGAGCACCCUGCAAAGGGCUGCUGGGCUGGGCGGGGGCACCCCGGGGUGACGCUGUGCCCCCCAGGAGGCCAUGGCCGACCUGCGGACGCAGCUGCAGCUGGAGGAGACGGAGAAGCGGGGCCUGGCAGUGCUGGCGGCGGCGCAGGGGCCGCGGGAGGCGGCGCUGCUCCUGCUGCUCCAGCACCUGGAGCAGGAGCGGGGCGGGGGGCCUGGCAGCCCCGAGGAGGUAUGGUGGGCGCGGGACCAGGGGCUCGCCCCCCUCCUUGGUGCAUGUCCCCCCGCGAUGGACGUGUCCCCGGGAGGGGGUCUCUGGGCUGCCCGGGGCCGGGGUCYCGCCAGGCUGUGCCGUGGGUGCUGAGCCCGCACCGGCCUCCCCAGGAUGCCCAGCCCGGCGGGACGGGCGCGACGGCUCCCCAGCGCCCCGCGGACCUGGAGAGCACGGCGCGAGAGCUGCUCGGCGCGCUGGCUCGGACGGAGGAGCUGCAUUCCCGGGCCCGGGCCCUGGCGCUCGCCCUGGAGCAGGCCAGCGCCGUCAGCCGGGCGCAGCAGGCGCAGUGCAGCGCCGUCACCGGCGACUUCUUCCAGGCUCACAGGUGGGCAGGGGGCACGCAGCCCCCCCUCAGCACGCCCCACAUGCACGGUCCGCCUCGGCACGCCCCAGACACGCGGUCCCCCCUGC